rnacentral:rRNA from 1 species
GACGAACGCUGGCGGCAUGCCUAACACAUGCAAGUCGAACGAAAAGUCCGGGUGUUGGGGCGCACGGGUGUGUAAGGGGUGGGAAGCUGCCCUUGGGUACGGAAUACCUCCCCGAAAGGGAUGCUAAUACCGGAUAAGGUCUUCGGCCCAAAGAUUUAUCGCAUUUGGAUGGGCCCUCGUUGGAUUCGCUUGUUGGUAGGGUAAUAGCUUACCAAGGCGACGAUCCAUAGCUGGUCUGAGAGGAUGAUCAGCCACUCUGGCACUGAGCCACGGCCCAGACUCCUACGCGAGGCAGCAGUGCGGAAUAUUGGACCGUGGGCGGAAGCCUGAUCCAGCAAUGCCGCGUGAGUGAUGAAGGCCUUAGGGUUGUAAAGCUCUUUUACCCGUGAUGAUAAUGACGGUACCGGGAGAAUAAGCUCCGGCUAACUCCGUG